CUGCGCUAGGUGGGGAGCCGGCGGUGCCCUGUACUUGCAAUCCGCCGUAGCAAGGCUGAAGGUUCUCCGAGGCUCGCCGUAUGGUUGGCUGCGCGCGGUAAGGCGUGAUGAUAUCAAGGUCUUAUGCAACGUGAACCCGCGAACCGUGUCAGGAUAGGGAUAUAGCAGCACUAAACGGUUAUUUGCGUGUGCCAUAAGGUUGCUUUGAAGGAGCGACCUGCCCCGUUACCGCUUCGGUACGACGUGUCGACGAGAAAUGCGCAG
rfam:Acidiphilium sp. CAG:727 genomic scaffold, scf205